rnacentral:rRNA from 1 species
GGAUUGAACGCUAGCGGGAUGCUUUACACAUGCAAGUCGAACGGCAGCGCGGACUUCGGUCUGGCGGCGAGUGGCGAACGGGUGAGUAAUAUAUCGGAACGUGCCCAGUAGCGGGGGAUAACUACGCGAAAGCGUGGCUAAUACCGCAUACGCCCUACGGGGGAAAGGGGGGGAUCGCAAGACCUCUCACUAUUGGAGCGGCCGAUAUCAGAUUAGCUAGUUGGUGAGGUAAAGGCUCACCAAGGCGACGAUCCGUAGCUGGUUUGAGAGGACGACCAGCCACACUGGGACUGACGACACGGCCCAGACCUCCGUACGGGAGGCAGGCAGUGGGAAUUUGGACAAGUGGGGGAAACCCUGAAUCCGAGCCAUCCCGCGUGUGCGAUGAAGGCCUUCGGUUGUAAAGUCUACGUUUGGACAGGAAGAACGGACACUCUUUAAGUACGGUUGCGACGUCGUAACGGUACCUA